AUGAGUGAGGAGCUCGCCAUCCACGAUGACCUGUGCUCGACGCUGGAGAUGUUCAACCUGACGGACAGGUGCACCAGGGCUGAGGAAGGUCGCCUCACCCUUUUGAAGCACCCAGCUGACGACCCCGAAGACAAGAAAGUCAAGGCCAAGGAGGUGAAGCGCCAGGGCCCCGCCGUGCUAGCGGCCGAGCCCGAGCUAAAGCACGGUCGUGACCACGACGAGCACGCCAUGGACGGACGCCUAUUCUGCGUCUUUCACAAUGUUCACACUCACAACACCAACAACUGUCAGGAGCCCAGGGCGCUUCGGGACAAGCGCCUGAGCCGCCGCCAAGCGCGCAGUGACCGUGGUGGAGGCCGCGGCGGAGGUCGCUGGGACAACCGCAACCCUCGGCAGGUCUGGCAUGACCAGCCUCGCAAGGGCGGCUGGCGCGAUCAGCCUCGUGACGGCCCCCGGCGUGAUCAGCCUCGUGAGGUCCGUCCUCAGGGCAACGCCAGCCUCCCUCCGCUGCCGCCGCCACCAAGGAGGAACGACGACAACCAUCAGGAUGAGGGGGCUGGGGGCUAUCAGGAGCCUCGUGCGAUUGCCUGCAUCCUCGGCGGUGCCUAG
rnacentral:rRNA from 1 species